CACAUCACGAAAGUCUGCCGCUCUUGAAGUCGCUGCGCCAACCGCAAGGAGGCAGGCGCCGAUGGAGUGGCAGGCGAUUGGGGUG
rnacentral:rRNA from 1 species